rnacentral:rRNA from 1 species
GCGAGUGAGCGGCAAAAGCUCAAAUUUGAAAUCUGGCACUUUCAGUGUCCGAGUUGUAAUUUGUAGAAGCAACUUUGGAUUUGGUCCUUGCAUAAGUUCCUUGGAAUAGGACGUCAUAGAGGGUGAGAAUCCCGUUUAUGGUGAGGAUACCAUUUCUUUGUAAAGUGCUUUCGAAGAGUCGAGUUGUUUGGGAAUGCAGCUCUAAGUGGGUGGUAAAUUCCAUCUAAAGCUAAAUAUUGGCGAGAGACCGAUAGCGAACAAGUACUGUGAAGGAAAGAUGAAAAGAACUUUGAAAAGAGAGUGAAAAAGUACGUGAAAUUGUUGAAAGGGAAGGGCUUGAAAUCAGACUUGGUAUUCAGUGAUCAAUUACCUUUCGGGGUGGUGCACUCGCUGUUUACUGGGCCAGCAUCGGUUUGAGCGGUAGGAUAAUGACUUUGGAAUGUGGCUCUUCGGAGUGUUAUAGCCUUUGUUGAUACUACCAGUUUGGACCGAGGACCGCGUCUUUGACUAGGAUGCUGGCGUAAUGGUUUUAAGCCACCC